UACGUAGGGUGCGAGCGUUUAUCCGGAAUUAUUGGGCGUAAAGAGUUGCGUAGGCGGACUGUAAAGUUUUUUGGUGAAAUCCUCAGGCUCAACUUGAGAACUGCCAAGAAUACUCACAGACUUAGAGGGAAUCAGGGGGUACUGGAACUCGUGGUGUAGUAGUAAAAUGCGUUGAUAUCACGAGGAACACCAAAGGCGAAGGCAGGUACCUGGGAUUCUCCUGACGCUAAGGCACGAAAGCGUGGGGAGCGAAACGG
rnacentral:rRNA from 1 species